AUGCUGUCCAGAGGGGGUCUGGUGGCAGCGACCCUUAGACAUUAAGAUUAGAGUUAAGUUAUCCCCUUAGAUUUAGUGACCCCAGUCGAUACUGUGUGUAGCAAAAGAUGUGAGUACAAUACUGUGUGUCAUUAUGAGGUACUGUGUGUAGCAAAAGAUGUGAGUACAAUACUGUGUGUCAUUACAUGAGUUAACAAAUAUGCACUUUUCUCCAAACAGCUCAAAUUAGUG